rnacentral:lncRNA from 1 species
GUGGAGUGGACCCAGCAGGGGGUGAGCAGGUCUUCCACCAACUUCACUCACCAAAAUCUCCUUCAGAAACACCCAGCUGGAGGAGACCACCCAGCAUCGCCGUGUCCACACAUUCCAGGCUUAGAAUCUGCUCCCUUCCUGUCUCCACAGCACCGGGAUGGCCCUUCCAGCAUCCCCGCUGCAAAGCAGGAGACAGGAAACAGUGGCAAGUGGCAGGGUGGCCCCAGCCAGGUGUCCCAGGUGACCCAGGACAUGGCCACGAGGAUGCUCCACAUGGCUCAGUUCCUGCGCAGGAAGGGCCCCAUUGCGAGCAAGGAGCAGUUUGUUGCCUGUGCCAGGCGGAUGGUUUCCGACGGGCAGGUGGUUGUUAGGUUUGGGAACAUCCUCGCCAAGCACUGCCUGGACCAGAGGUGCUCCGUGGAGCUGCUCCGCGCUGCCGAGCACACCCAAUCCAUCAGCAGCCAGCUCGCCAUCGUGGCCAGGGUGAAGGCAGUGACUGGGGAGAGCAGGGCCUCCUCUGAGCUGCUGCUGAGCAACGUGCAGAACCUCAUCCAAGCAGUCCAGCACGUCCUGAGGGCGGCCGAGGCGGCGUGUGUCAAAGGUUUGGGACAGCCCUCAGCAGACCCUGAGGAAGAAGAAGUUGCUGCUUUCUGCCAGCAGUGGAGGAAAAACCUGACACAGCACAGAGCCAAGGAGGCUUUAAAUUCCGACCGGGAUGAAUUAGGGCUCCGGAAAACUCGAGGGGCAAAGGCUGAGCCCACCCUGAUGUCUCUGGUGCAAGAGCAAUCCCCCUGGAGCAGGAAUGUCCCAAAGCACCCCAGUCCUAGGAAAGGACACACAGUUAUGGACAGACACCUGUAACCCAGAGAGGAGCUCCGUGUCCCAGUGGCACUGGAAGCAGAGCAGGAAUACUUUGCAGCGUGAAGGAUUCAUGAUGGAGUUUUUCACCGCGGCAGGAAAACCUCGGAACAGGCUCCGUGGGGAGGCCAGGAGUCUUCUGGUGAGUGUUUUACCCCCAGCUGCUGAGAUGGGGUGGAUGGGGCUUUGGAGAAUCCCGAUCCAGUGGGAGGUGUCGGAGGUGUCCCUGCCCAUGGCAGGGGGUGGAAUGGGAUGAGUUUAAGGUCCCUUCCCAUCCAAACUGAUCCAGGAUUCUGUGAUCCAGAGAUGCUCAGGCUUUCUGCCAUCUCUCCACCUUUCCUGCUUCACCCGGCCAUGGAUGCAGCAGUGGGGAGCGUUCUGUCUCACCUGCUGGCCCUGAGCCUGCAGAUUGCCUCCCAAAAUCCCACUGGGCCCCAGGACUCUCUCCCAUCCACAGUAAACAUUCAGUCCCCGAGAUCACCUACCUCACAGCUCCCAGAGUAUCCCAGACUGCUGCUCCUCUGUCCUGGCUCUCCACAUCCAUCCUUCCCAGCCUCGGGAUCACGAGCUGUCCAAUGGCAGCGCUGCUCCGUGCUGCAAUUCUGCAGGAGAGGUGGAAAGGUGCCACCGUGGAAUUCCCUGUGGAAUACACAACUGGCACAGCAGAUCACAACUGGCUCCAUGGUGGCUGCAGCCCAUUCC